rnacentral:rRNA from 1 species
GACGAACGCUGGCGGCGUGCCUAAUACAUGCAAGUAGAACGCAGUUGCGAACGGGUGAGUAACGCGUAGGUAACUGCCUCAUAGCGGGGGGUAAAUAUUGGAAACGAUAGCUAAUACCGCAUACUGUGAGAUGGACCUGCGUUGUAUUAGCUAGUUGGUGAGGGAAAGGCUCACCAAGGCGACGAUACAUAGCCGACCUUGGAGGGUGUGCGGCCACACUGGGACUGGGACACGGCCCCGACUUCUACGGGAGGCAGCCGUAGGGAAUCUUCGGCAAAGGGGGGAAGUCUGACCGAGCAACUGCGCGGUAGUUAAGAAGGUUUUUGGAUUGUAAAGCUCUUUUGUUAGAGAAGCGGUAACUACCCAGAAAGGGACGGCUAACUACGUGCCAGCAGCCGCGGUAAUUC